CAGUAGCCGCGGUAAUACGGAGGGGGCUAGCGUUGUUCGGAAUUACUGUGCGUAAAGCGCACGUAGGCGGCUUUGUAAGUUAGAGGUGAAAGCCCGGAGCUCAACUCCGGAAUUGCCUUUAAGACUGCAGAGCUAGCAGGUGAGAGAGGUGAGUGGAAUUCCGAGUGUAGAGGUGAAAUUCGUGGAUAUUCGGCAGGACACCAGUGGCGAAGGCGGCUCACUGGCUCAUACUGGACGCUGAGGUGCGAAAGCGUGGGGAGCAAACAGGAUUAGAUACCCGGGUAGUCCCUGUCUCUUAUAC
rnacentral:rRNA from 1 species